CCCGCCAGAGAGCCGUGCUGGCCGCCUCUAGGGGCCCCGCCCAUCCUGGAAGUGGGUUCCCGGGGGGCGCCUCGGUGGGUCUGAGGGGGAGUGGGAGGAGGCCCUUGGAGGAGAACUCCCCAGCUUCUCGAAGCCCGGCCCUCCAGCCCGGCCCUGGGCAGGGUGUGGGAAUCUGGAAAGCACGUUGCUCAGAGGUGCAUCACUAGGAGGGGAGGGCCGAGCGAGUGGGCGCCUGUCUCUGCGGCGCCCGGAGCCUUCUCCGCCUCCGUCCCGGUCCUGUUUGAGGGUUUCCCGUGCAGUUGGGCUUGACUGCGAUUCUGUGGCCGAGGAGCAUGUGGACACCACUCUCCUUGGGGCCCCUCGGGGGAGCCCGCCCUCCCUCUGGAGAGACCUUUAUCUUGCUGGCACAGGGCCCGCGGGCAGGUGGUGUUCGCUUUGUCUGUCGUUCCCUGCGGGUAUCCAUAUCCACUGAGGGGGUCAAACUGCUGCUGGAGCCCAGGGCCAGGGGACCGGGGCCUUGGGGGCCCCAUCCAUCUAGGGAUCACAAGUGACCAGUUUCACACAGCCCUCAAUGGGUGGGGCACCAAGGCACAGAAGCCGGACAACAGGGAGGGUGUCCACCUGUGGGGAGGAGCAAGGCCCGAGGGGGGAAGGGGCUGUGAAUCCCGGAGAGAAGGGUCAGCCAGCUAGGUCUCUGUGUCCCCGGACUUGGGGCUAAUCUGGGAGGCUCCGCAGAGCCAGCACCCAGUGAAAUCCGCCUGGUCGCCCCCAUCGCCAGCACUGCCAGUGUCCCUGGGGAGUGCUCUCCGGGGGGGGGGGGUCCCCUUUUUUUAAAACGCCCUCUCCACUCUCAGGCUCCUCGAACAAAGCCUUGGGCAGCAAAACCCACACCUGGUUUUCAUCAAAAUGUGUACACCACAUUCAUACACGCACAGAGGUUCACACAACAAAUUGAAUUGUUUUCUCUAAAAGGGUGAGAUUUGCAAGCUUUUUUGCUUCCACGCGCUUUUCAGGUACAUCUACGGUAACUUUUGUAACAAACUAACAAAGCCUUCAAGUCACGCAAAACGGAAUAAAGCAUGCCCAUACUUCACCAUCCGGCUCCAGCACACCUGGGUCGCUCCCGGACACUGCUGGGCAACGGCCAGGCCCCUCCUACCGCAACACGGGGCAGGGCCCUGCCAGUUCUGGCUGAACCGCUUUGGGCAAAACCUCCCUUAUAUGACGGGCAAGCAGGGUGUCUGUGGGUGGUGGGGAGGAGCCGGCGGGGAUUUGGUGGUGAAAUGGCUCGUCCUGCCGGGACAGGAUCCCGGCACGGCCAGCCCUCGUCAGGUUCCUGGUUACUGGGGUGGGUCUGCCGCAUCCCAAACUCUCUGGUGGGCUUAAGGGCCCCCCUCUUCUGUGCCUUCUGCCUUGCCUUCAAUGUCCAGCCAGUGCUGCCCGCAACUGGGCACCGAGUAGGUGCGCUGGGCACAGGCUAAGCAGACAGACGUUCCCUGAGCGAAUGCUGAGCACCGGGCCCUGGUGCCCGGAGCCCAGCCGCUCGCGGCGUGUCCUGGGAAGCCAGCAGCUGUGUCCGGUGGGGCAGGGAGGGGGUGCCCCGGCCGGCCAGCAUCUUCCCGAACCUGUGUCCUACUGCGUGGCCCUGCGGCUCCAGCGCGCCCCCGCCUUGCCUCCUCCCUCUUGAUCCGGAGAAGUCAGACAGACAAACACGGAUUCUUGGUGACUUUUCCCGUUAGUCCUGGCACCGGGAAGGGGUUUCUUGGCCUCGGCACGCUGACCUCCUGGGCUGGAUCCUGGUCUUUCGUGGUGCUGUCUGCCCGAUGCCUGGGGUGUGCUUAGCAACAUCCCCAGUCUCCAAACACUGGUUAGGUGCCAGCGACACCCCCCACCCCCGUUACGACAAGCAAAAAUGUCCCUAGACGGUGCCACAUGUCCCCUGGGGGCCGGAUCGCCCCCAGCUGAGAACCGCCGCUGCAGAGCGAGGAAGAGGGGUGGCGUGGGGGUGGGCGCCCGUGCCGCCUGCAAAGCCCCGGGAGCAGUCUGCUGGGGACUGUGCGCCCAGACAGCUGGCAGCGAGGGAGACACUCCCAAACCCCACACCGCCGGGCACGGCAGCGCAACAAUGGGGCCAUUCAGUGUUCGGGGCGAGCGGUCUUAAACGUCUCUCCACGACAUCUGAGGACACGGCUUUCAGCGGCGCUGACGGUUGCGCGGAGCCCAGGAGAGGGACAGUCGUGCGAUCAAGCUCUGUUUCCAGGGCGGGGACGUGGGUGAGACCGCUUCGAGCUGAAUGUGUGUUCAGAAGGCAGGUCAGCGGCUGCCGGGGAGGGGGCCCAGGGCGGGAGGAACCUUUGGGGAGCACGGCGGUGCUGGUCUCACGGGCGUGAGCGGACGGUGACACAGACAGAGCCACACACGUUAAAAUGCGCGCAGUGGAUGCUGUGUUGGUCACACCUCGAAAAAGGUGGUUUUAAAAUCCAUUUGUCCAAAGUUUUAGUGCCUGAAAGAUGUUAUUUUGAGGAUGCCCUCGGGUGAGGCAGCCCAUUUCGGGACUGUGCCGGGUAGAGGCCGUGCAUCUGGGGAGACGAUCGCGGGACCUCCCAGGAAAACAGCAGGUGGUGGUGUGGGCCUCAGGGCCGUUGGAGAAAGCAGGGGAAGGGCCGCUGCGCUCGGCUAGGCCUCCCCCCGAGAAGGCGGCGAGUCUACCCGUAGCUAGGGGCGGCGCUGGAGAGCUCCUCCGCCAGAUGAUGCUACCAAACCCGUGUGCCUGGGCCCGUAGUAAGUGGGCUCGGGAAAAUAAAAUAACAAAUGGACUGCUGGCUGCCAGAAAAGGAACACAUGAUUCUGGAAACCACAGGCUCCUCUGCUAACUUUAAUCCCUAAAACAAAUAUUGCUGGGGAGAGUCAGCCAAUACCUGGAGGAGGGCGGGGCCGUCCCUCCGUAGGGCAUGGCACCUACCCCUGGGGAGCAGGCCACCCCGGUGCCCGAGGGGCUGCGCUCGGCAGAGGGGGUGGCGGACGCGCCGGGUGAGAGAGCUGCAGCCGUCUCUCCCUGAUGGGAGGAGCGCUUCUGAGCUGCGGGAGACCUCCACGGGGUCCCCUGGAGCCCGCGAGGGAGGCCUGGGAGCAAGGAAAUGGCUUGUGACGGGGACGAGUUAGGAGUGGAGGGCUGACUGCGCGCCAGGCAUCUCACUCCUUCGUUCUCAGACACUGGCUGAGCACCUGCGGGGUGCACAGCCUCCUUCCGUGCUCCCGUCGGGGCCCCGGACGCGGACGGCAGCAUGAUUAGCCGGCGUGUAAGAGAACAUCAGGUCGUGGUCGCAAGUACUCUGGGGGGGAAAUCGCAAGCGGGUGAUGUUGGAAGUUCCUGGGGUGGUCAGGGAAGGCCUCAGGGAGGAGGUGAUAUUCGAGCAGAAGCUCAAGAAAGAGGCGAAGGUGUGCAGAUCUGAGGUGUGAAGAGAGGGCUCCCAAGGCCCAGGAAACCAGGGGGACACGCCUGGUAUAUGAGCUCGUGCGCUUGGGGAGCAGACGCUCCGAAAAGCGUGGGGGGUGGGGGGAGGGGGGACGGUGAGGAGUGGCGAGAGGAGAGGGUAGGCGAGAGCCAGACCGUGGAGCAUGUGGCAGGCUGGUCAGCAUGUGGAAUUAAAGUCUCAGACCAGUGGACAGUUUGGGAGAAUCUCACUAAUUUAUCCUUUUAAGAGGCCCCUCAGACUGCCGUGGGGAGGAGACAUGUAGGAGGUAAUAGCGGAAACCGCCCCCCAACAGCCCAACGCAGGAGUCACCAUGGGUGACCCUCCUGAGUUACCUGCUGGCUGGGGGACCGGCUCGGGGAAGCAGAGUGACUUUCACAACAUGACGGAGAAACCGAGGCCUAGAGAGCCUGCUGGGAACUCGGAAGAAGAUCCAGCCUGCGGAGGGAGGGCGGAAAGCUUUCUGCCUCUGCAAGAGGGAGCACUGGAGCUGAAUCAGCCACUCGUUCCCUUAGACGUCGGGACGUGGGCGGCUCUGCUCUGGUUCCCGUUGGACAUUUUCUUGGAGAAGCCUGUUCACCUGCAUCCUCCCAGUAGUCCCGGGACCGCCGUGCUUCUGUUUGCACCGUGGACUGUUACAUCACUCGGCCUUCUCCUGGCUUCAACGCAUCAUUGACGCGUUAAACCCGCCUCUGCUCUCUUCUCGUGAGCCAACAGCAAUUAAAAAGGACUGCCUGGUGCCAACACAAUCGUAAACACAAAUGCACACUCGGGCAGCGAAGUCCUGUGUCGACAGGAGACUGGAAGGUGGUCAUGCCGACGGUCGUGAUGAUGCAAGUGACCGUGAUGGUCCCAUUUACUGGGAACUUGCCGCGGGACGGAGCCGUGCUAAUUGCCUUGCAUGCGGGGUCUUAUGCGAUCCUCCCAAGGACCCUACAGGGCACACCCCACUGUACACAGGAGGACAUUUAGACUUAGUGGGGCUCGAGAACUUGCCCGAGGUCACAUGCACAGCAAGUGGUACAGUCGGAACUUGAACCUGUGUCCGUCCAGCUGACCCCAGUAACCCCUGGAAGGGCUGGUGGCUGGGGCAGGGAACUCCCUGUUCUGUUUGCCAUCGGGUCCUGGCCGCAACCGCUCCCUGUGGCUGUGCCCCGCUGGGCCGAGCAGGGCAGAUCAAUAGAAUUGAGAGUAAAAACGAAGCUGCCCCCUCCCGUUGGCUGCACGUGCCGUGCCGGGCACUGUCAGAGCUCCAGAAGUGCUGCCCGCCUCCAGCA